rnacentral:rRNA from 1 species
AAUACCGCAUAAGCGCACAGCACCGCAUGGUGCAGUGUGAAAAACUCCGGUGGUGUGAGAUGGAUCCGCGUCUGAUUAGCUUGUUGGCGGGGUAACGGCCCACCAAGGCGACGAUCAGUAGCCGGCCUGAGAGGGCGACCGGCCACAUUGGGACUGAGACACGGCCCAGACUCCUACGGGAGGCAGCAGUGGGGAAUAUUGCACAAUGGGGGAAACCCUGAUGCAGCGACGCCGCGUGAGCGAUGAAGUAUUUCGGUAUGUAAAGCUCUAUCAGCAGGGAAGAUAAUGACGGUACCUGACUAAGAAGCUCCGGCUAAAUACGUGCCAGCAGCCGCGGUAAUACGUAUGGAGCAAGCGUUAUCCGGAUUUACUGGGUGUAAAGGGAGCGUAGGCGGUCCUGCAAGUCUGAUGUGAAAGGCCGGGGCUCAACCCCGGGACUGCAUUGGAAACUGUAGGACUAGAGUGUCGGAGGGGUAAGUGGAAUUC